rnacentral:miRNA from 1 species
UCUUUCUGCAUCUGAACCUUUUC